ACUCCUACGGGAGGCAGCAGUGAGGAAUUUUGCGCAAUGGCCGCAAGGCUGACGCAGCAACGCCGCGUGGGUGAUGAAGGCCUUCGGGUCGUAAAGCCCUGUCAGGUGGGAAGAAAGGCCUUGAUAAGAAACGGUUGAGGUUUGACGGUACCACCAGAGGAAGCACCGGCUAACUCCGUGCCAGCAGCCGCGGUAAUACGGAGGGUGCGAGCGUUAUUCGGAAUUACUGGGCGUAAAGCGCGUGUAGGCGGGGAUGCAAGUCUGAUGUGAAAGCCCUGGGCUUAACCUGGGAAGUGCAUUGGAAACUGCAUUUCUUGAGUACUGGAGAGGAAGGGGGAAUUCCCGGUGUAGAGGUGAAAUUCGUAGAGAUCGGGAGGAAUACCAGUGGCGUAGGCGCCCUUCUGGACGGUAACUGACGCUGAGACGCGAAAGCGUGGGGAGCAAACAGGAUUAGAUACCCUGGUAGUCCACGCUGUAAACGAUGAUCACUAGGUGUAGCGGGUACUCAUUCCUGCUGUGCCGUAGCUAACGCGUUAAGUGAUCCGCCUGGGGAUUACGGUCGCAAGACUAAAACUCAAAGGAAUUGACGG
rnacentral:rRNA from 1 species